rnacentral:rRNA from 2 species
UCCUACGGGAGGCAGCAGUGGGGAAUAUUGCACAAUGGGCGAAAGCCUGAUGCAGCAACGCCGCGUGAGCGAUGAAGGCCUUCGGGUCGUAAAGCUCUGUCCUCAAGGAAGAUAAUGACGGUACUUGAGGAGGAAGCCCCGGCUAACUACGUGCCAGCAGCCGCGGUAAUACGUAGGGGGCUAGCGUUAUCCGGAAUUACUGGGCGUAAAGGGUGCGUAGGUGGUUUCUUAAGUCAGAGGUGAAAGGCUACGGCUCAACCGUAGUAAGCCUUUGAAACUGGGAAACUUGAGUGCAGGAGAGGAGAGUGGAAUUCCUAGUGUAGCGGUGAAAUGCGUAGAUAUUAGGAGGAACACCAGUUGCGAAGGCGGCUCUCUGGACUGUAACUGACACUGAGGCACGAAAGCGUGGGGAGCAAACAGGAUUAGAUACCCUGGUAGUCCACGCCGUAAACGAUGAGUACUAGCUGUCGGAGGUUACCCCCUUCGGUGGCGCAGCUAACGCAUUAAGUACUCCGCCUGGGAAGUACGCUCGCAAGAGUGAAACUCAAAGGAAUUGACGG